AGCGAACGCUGGCGGCAGGCUUAACACAUGCAAGUCGAGCGCCGUAGCAAUACGGAGCGGCAGACGGGUGAGUAACGCGUGGGAACGUACCUUCUGGUUCGGAAUAACUCAGGGAAACUUGAGCUAAUACCGGAUAAGCCCUUCGGGGGAAAGAUUUAUCGCCGGAAGAUCGGCCCGCGUAAGAUUAGCUAGUUGGUGAGGUAAUGGCUCACCAAGGCUACGAUCUUUAGCUGGUCUGAGAGGAUGAUCAGCCACAUUGGGACUGAGACACGGACCAGACUCCUACGGGAGGCAGCAGUGAGGAAUAUUGGUCAAUGGGCGCAAGCCUGAACCAGCCAUCCCGCGUGCAGGAAGACGGCCCUAUGGGUUGUAAACUGCUUUUCCAGGGAGAGAAACUUACGCACGUGUUGCGUGACUGACGGUACCCUGGGAAUAAGCAUCGGCUAACUCCGUGCCAGCAGCCGCGGUAAUACGGAGGAUGCAAGCGUUAUCCGGAUUCAUUGGGUUUAAAGGGUGCGUAGGCGGGCUAUUAAGUCAGUGGUGAAAUCCUGCAGCUUAACUGCAGAACUGCCGUUGAUACUGAUAGUCUUGAGUUUGGUUAAGGUAGGCGGAAUGUGUAAUGUAGCGGUGAAAUGCUUAGAUAUUACACAGAACACCAAUUGCGUAGGCAGCUUACUGAGCCGACACUGACGCUGAGGCACGAAAGCGUGGGGAUCAAACAGGAUUAGAUUCCCUGGUAGUCCACGCCGUAAACGAUGAUUACUCGCUGUUGGCGAUACACUGUCAGCGGCUAAGCAAAAGCAAUAAGUAAUCCACCUGGGGAGUACGGCCGCAAGGUUGAAACUCAAAGGAAUUGACGGGGGCCCGCACAAGCGGAGGAACAUGUGGUUUAAUUCGAUGAUACGCGAGGAACCUUACCUGGGCUUAAAUGUAGAGUGCAUUUUCUAGAGAUAGAAAUUCCCUUCGGGGCUUUCUGCAAGGUGCUGCAUGGUUGUCGUCAGCUCGUGCCGUGAGGUGUCGGGUUAAGUCCCAUAACGAGCGCAACCCUUAUCGUUAGUUGCCAGCUGGUAAAGCAGGGGACUCUAGCGAAACUGCCACCGUAAGGUGAGAGGAAGGUGGGGNNNACGUCAAAUCAGCACGGCCCUUAUGUCCAGGGCUACACACGUGUUACAAUGGCCGGUACAGAGGGCUGCUACCUGGUGACAGGAUGCUAAUCUCGAAAACCGGUCUCAGUUCGGAUCGAAGUCUGCAACUCGACUUCGUGAAGCCGGAUUCGCUAGUAAUCGCGCAUCAGCAACGGCGCGGUGAAUACGUUCCCGGGCCU
rnacentral:rRNA from 1 species